rnacentral:rRNA from 1 species
UACGUAGGGGGCUAGCGUUGUUCGGAAUUACUGGGCGUAAAGGGCGCGUAGGCUGUGCUGUAAGUCAGGCGUGAAAGCCCCGGGCUCAACCUGGGAAUUGCGCUUGAUACUGCGGCGCUGGAAGGUGGGAGAGGAUGGCGGAAUUCCCAGUGUAGAGGUGAAAUUCGUAGAUAUUGGGAAGAACACCGGUGGCGAAGGCGGCCAUCUGGCCCAUUUUUGACGCUGAGGCGCGAAAGCGUGGGGAGCAAACAGG